rnacentral:tRNA from 1 species
GCGCCGCCUGGCGGGGCAGGGACAUCGUCACAGCGCCUCCCGGGCCGUGCGCCGGGCCUCCGCGUAGCGUUCGUAGCGCUCGUGGCGCUC